GAUGAACGCUGGCGGCGUGCCUAAUACAUGCAAGUCGAACGAACAGACGAGGAGCUUUCUCCUCUGACUUUAUCGGCGGACGGGUGAUUAACACGUGGAUAACCUACCUAUAAGACUGGGAUAACUUCGGGAAACCAGAUCUAAUACCGGAUAAUAUAUUGAACCUCAUUGUUCAAUAGUUAAAUACGGUUUUUCUUUCACUUAUAGAUUGAUCCGCGCCGCAUUAGCUAGUUGGUAAGGUAACUGCUUAGCAAGGCAACGAUGGGUAGCCGCCCUCAAGGGGUGGACGGACACAUUGGCAGUGAGCAACGGCCCAGACUCUUACGGGAGGAAGCAGUAGGGAAUCUUACGGAAUGGGGGAAAGGGUGACGGAGCACCGCCGGGUGAGUGAUGAAGGUCUUAGGCUCGUAAAACUCUGUUAUUAGGGAAGAACAAAUGUGUAAGUACCUAUGAACGUCUUGACGGUACCUAAUCAGAAAGCCACGGCUAACUACGUG
rnacentral:rRNA from 1 species